rnacentral:lncRNA from 1 species
AACGGGAUGGAAUUCAGAAGAUCCUUUUUCAUAUGAGGGUGUCCUUGAUGUCCAGACAUCCAGUAUAGACAUUCAGGGAAAUUGUUCUAGCUGUGCUUUCAGGUACCCACCCUGCCCACUCCCAUUUUGGAUAAAAUGCCCCAGCCACAGCACCUGCUGUGGUGAUCAUCAAUUCACAGGUUCAGCUGCUGUCAUCGCAGAGGGUUGAACUAGGCUUCCAAAGCCUGGAUGCCUCUGUUGGUUUCUCCUGU